rnacentral:rRNA from 2 species
UGUCUCAAAGAUUAAGCCAUGCAUGUCUAAGUAUAAGCAAUUAUACCGUGAAACUGCGAAUGGCUCAUUAAAUCAGUUAUCGUUUAUUUGAUAGUACCUUACUACUUGGAUAACCGUGGUAAUUCUAGAGCUAAUACAUGCUGAAAACCCCAACUUCGGGAGGGGUGUAUUUAUUAGAUAAAAAACCAACGCCCUUUCGGGGCUUCUUGGUGAUUCAUGAUAACUUUACGGAUCGCAUGGCCUUGCGCUGGCGACGGUUCAUUCAAAUUUCUGCCCUAUCAACUUUCGAUGGUAAGGUAUUGGCUUACCAUGGUUUCAACGGGUAACGGGGAAUUAGGGUUCGAUUCCGGAGAGGGAGCCUGAGAAACGGCUACCACAUCCAAGGAAGGCAGCAGGCGCGCAAAUUACCCAAUCCCGACACGGGGAGGUAGUGACAAUAAAUACUGAUACAGGGCUCUUUUGGGUCUUGUAAUUGGAAUGAGUACAAUUUAAACCUCUUAACGAGGAACAAUUGGAGGGCAAGUCUGGUGCCAGCAGCCGCGGUAAUUCCAGCUCCAAUAGCGUAUAUUAAAGUUGUUGCAGUUAAAAAGCUCGUAGUUGAAACUUGGGUCUGGCUGGCGGGUCCGCCUCACCGCGUGUACUUGUCCGGCCGGGCCUUCCUUCUGGAGAACCUCAUGCCCUUUACUGGGCGUGUUGGGGACCAGGACUUUUACUUUGAAAAAAUUAGAGUGUUCAAAGCAGGCCUUUGCUCGAAUACGUUAGCAUGGAAUAAUAGAAUAGGACGUGCGGUCCUAUUUUGUUGGUUUCUAGGACCGCCGUAAUGAUUAAUAGGGACAGUCGGGGGCAUCAGUAUUCAAUUGUCAGAGGUGAAAUUCUUGGAUUUAUUGAAGACUAACUACUGCGAAAGCAUUUGCCAAGGAUGUUUUCAUUAAUCAGUGAACGAAAGUUAGGGGAUCGAAGACGAUCAGAUACCGUCGUAGUCUUAACCGUAAACUAUGCCGACUAGGGAUCGGGCGAUGUUCUUUUUCUGACUCGCUCGGCACCUUACGAGAAAUCAAAGUUUUGGGU